rnacentral:rRNA from 1 species
GACGGAGGGGGCAAGCGUUGUUCGGAAUUAUUGGGCGUAAAGGGCUCGUAGGCGGAUCCGCCAGUUUGACGUGAAAUCUCCACCGCUCACCGGGGAGGGGCCGUUGAAUACUACGGAUCUGGAGUUCGGCAGAGGACCAUGGAAUUUCGGGUGUAGCGGUGGAAUGCGUAGAUAUCGUUUGGAACGCCAAAGGUGAAAACAGACAGCUGGGAGUGUGCUGACGCUGAGACACGAAAGCCAGGGGAGCGAACGGG